GAAAUAUGUUUAUCAAGAGAGAGCUUCUAACUCAAUUCUUUAACGAUGAAACCUCGUUAAUAUUUCU
rnacentral:tRNA from 1 species